GUGCCCACAAGGGACGGGGCUGCCUGGCCGAGAAAGGACUGCUCAGCGAUAGUAGCCUGUAUAUGUUUAUUUAUAUAUAAAAAUAUACACCAAGUAGUGCUUAAGGAAGGCGGUGAACUUGUUUUCUUACCAAUGGAAAAGAGGAGAAUGGCUGACUUCCCAGCAGAGUCAGCCAGGCUCCAGUUCAACUUGUGCCUUCCAGGCGUGAUCAUCCCAGGCUGCAGGAGAGCAGCAAAUGGCCACAGCACAUCCGUGUCAGCUCCACUUCCAGCCCCCAAACCCGGGCUGAUCUCCCUGCUUGAAGGAGGGGAAGACCCCUGGAUCCCAGGUGUGCGUAGCCCCGAGGCCGUGCCAGGAGACCUGAGCCCAGGAGGUGAUGGGAUCACAGAUAUAAAGGAGGAUCUGCAGGAAAGUGGUGUGGCUGAAAAGCAGUGGGGUAGCGCCUGUGUGGAAGAAAUUGGAAGAGAUGUCCAUGUGGGCUUUGAGCAGGCAGAGCGCUUGAGGAGCCACUGGGAGGGCAUGUGGGAAAGAGAGCAAGGAACCCUGUGGACUUCAGCGUGGGUCAAAAGCAGCCUGAAGACCACGGGAGCAAGAAUGGUGCCAGAAGAAAAAGCAGAAUCCAUGCACUGAGUGUGGGAAAAGCUUUAAAAGGUAUUCCAAGCUUGUUAAUCACCAGUGCUUGCUCUCAGAGGGUCGCCUGUACAAGUGCUCUGAUUGCAGAAAGAGCUUCAAAUGGAGAUCCCAACUCAUUUGCCACCAGAGCAUCCACACAGGAGAGAGACCCUAUAAGUGUCCUGAGUGUGAGAAAAGCUUCAAAAGAAGUUCACAAUUGGAGCAGCACCUGCACAUCCACAGGGGGGAGAGACCCUAUAAGGUCCUGAGUCCAGGAAGAACUUCAGAAGUUACAGUUUGAAGCACCACCGGCACAUGGACACAGGAGUGCUCAAGUGAUGAUGUGGAAAGGGCUUCCAAAACAGUGCCAAUCUCAGAAUACAACAGCGCAUCCACACAGCAGAUAGAGCCUGCAGAGCCCUGAACGUGGGAAGAGUUUCAGCCAAAGCCCCAGCCUAGUCACCACCUGUGGUGAUGAAUUUUACAAAUUCCUUGAGCAUAGGAAGAGCUCUGGUGCCAAACUAAAUCCUGUUCCCCCUUACCUGCAUGGAAAUUAUCCAUUCUGCCUUCUUUCAGCUGCAGACAGGCUGCUGUGUGGACAUGCAAAUGAAAGUCCAGAGUGGGAUGUGUCACAACCACUGGAAACCCUCUGCCAGGUGGCACGUUUCUGCCAGGGCAGUGUGCAAGGAGUCAGGAGAGAAAAGGAACAAAAGGAAAAAAAAAUAGCGGCAAUGAACUGAGGUGAAAAAACCUUAGUUGACUAUUUAUAAUAGAGAAAGACAAGUUAAUUGGGAUUGAAGCUAA
rnacentral:lncRNA from 7 species